rnacentral:rRNA from 1 species
UACGUAGGGGGCUAGCGUUGCUCGGAAUGACUGGGCGUAAAGGGCGCGUAGGCGGAUGGCUUUGUCGGGCGUGAAAUUCCAGGGCUCAACCUUGGGGCUGCGUUCGAGACGGGCGAUCUUGAGUCCGGAAGAGGAGAGUGGAAUUCCCGGUGUAGCGGUGAAAUGCGCAGAUAUCAGGAGGAACACCUGUGGCGAAAGCGGCUCACUGGACCACAACUGACGCUGAGGCGCGAAAGCUAGGGGAGCAAACAGG